CCAAGUGCUUAGUACAGUAUUCCUCACAUUGUACGUACUCUAAUAAAGCACCACUGCUAGAUCCAAUGAUUGAGAGGGAGGUUUUCAGCUUGGAGGGGAACCCAGUUGGCUACAUCAGAAAAUCUGGAAUGAAAAGCAGCUGAGAGACCUAUUAAUGGAGAGGGAUUAUCUGCGUGAGAGAAGGGGUGAGAAGAUAAUUUGAUUGGUGUUUGUUGCAACGGAGCCUGGGGAGCCAAGCCCCAGAGAGAAGAACUCCGCAUCCCGCUAAGCAGCAGACCAAAUGUUAAACAGUAUGUUCACCCAUCCUGGCCCCCUUCAAUCUGGUCUCUUUCGAGGCAACAAGAGCCCGUGUCCAAAGCUGACUCUUCUCACCUGGAAAAACAGAGUGCUCUAAACCAUGAAGACUUCUGACUCAGAAAUCACGUCGUCCUAAGAUAAGCGAAUGCAAGGCAAGCUAAAACAAGCCUUGCCUUUGCUUCCUCAUGUCACUAAGAGAAGGUGAAACACAGUGCAGCCUCGUGGAAAGCGCACCGGCCUGGUAAUCAGACGACCUGGGUUCUAAUCCUGGCUCCGCCACCUCUCUGCUCCGUGUAUCCUUGGCUCACCACAAAACAGCUGUUUGGGGUGUCGUGCUGGCAUUCAUUCCCCUCACUCAAAUCCUAGGGGAGCUGUGUUGAGAUAAAUAUUCAGAGAAGCAUCUAGAGGGCUAAUGCCCAUCUGGGUAGUGGAACGAACCAUGAUGAUCUCUGCCAAAAGCCGCAAGAUACUUAAAUCCCUGAGGCAAUCUGGGGAUUGGACAUGGGCACUUGGUGUCUAUCCAGGGCCUACAGUUCUGCCCGGGGAGGAAAUAUUCCAAGCAGCCCGAUCGGCCCCUUCCCAAAGCAAUCAAUGACUUCUGAUAUCUAGUGGCCCUAAACAGGGCCUAUCACAACGGUAACAUCCUACUGCCCAAGCAGUUUCAGCGGUAUCACCUCCGAACCAUUCUUAACGUCAAAAGGAGAGGCAGGGUCACAAGCAACGAGAUCCUUGAAGGCAGCCGGUUUACCAGCACUAAAGCAAAAAGCACUGAAACCAACUUUGGUGAGGAGGAUAUGUGAAGAGAAGGGAAUCCAGGAAGAAAACGAACAGCUGGUGGAUGGUAAACGCAAAUAAAUAAAAUA